UACGUAGGGUGCGAGCGUUGUCCGGAAUUAUUGGGCGUAAAGAGCUUGUAGGCGGUUUGUCGCGUCUGCCGUGAAAUUUCGAGGCUCACCUCGAACUUGCGGUGGGUACGGGCAGACUAGAGUGUGGUAGGGGAGACUGGAAUCCUGGUGUAGCGGUGAAAUGCGCAGAUAUCAGGAGGAACACCGAUGGCGAAGGCAGGUCUCUGGGCCACUACUGACGUGAGAAGCGAAAGCAUGGGGAGCGAACAGG
rnacentral:rRNA from 1 species